GAUCAAAGUUGAGAUUUUGAAUAUUAAAAUCCUCUGUGUUGGUAUAUGCUAAAAAAUGGUUAAGCUUCUUCUUGUGUGUUUUACUGAUUUUGAUUACUUUAAGUCCUAAAGGGAACCAACAUAGGCAUCUAAUGCUUGUACCUCUUUUGCUUUUGGUCUUAAUUCUUUUCUCUGGUGGUUCAGGUAUGUUGAACUGUAUUAAAAUACAACAUUGGUCUUGGCACUGUGUCUUGUGGAUCAAUUAUGGAUCUGCUUCAUAGAAAGAUAAUAUCUUUCCAGUUUCUUUAUCUUGGAAAUAGUACAAACUCCGAUCUCGGUUCUUGGAUAGAGUUCACUAGGUCUUUUUCUUUUAUACAAGUUGUGGGUAAGCAAAUAGAAAUAUAGUUGAAUAAACAUGCCAAAGCUAAAGACUUUGAAGAUGACUACUGACUCAGAGAACUGUACCGUAUUCUUUUUCAUUUCUUCGUCGUGCAAUUACGAGAAAUCAGGAUUCCGGUUGGUGGACCGGUCAUCUGAAGUUGGCACCUCCCGUGCAGCUGAUAAGAGUAAUGAAUCAUUCCAAAAUGAGCUUUGACUUUGAAGGCAAGCCUACCAAACUAGAGAUCAAACGGAUUGGUUCCAACCUCGUCUCAUGCUUUUUCUGCAAGAAUGGCUGGACCACUUGCGCUGCAAUCAAUCUAUUGAAGAAGAAGAGCUCAAUCCGAAGCUUCUCAAACUUCACUUCUAUCUUCUUAUUAGGGUUAGUGAAAUUCACCAGCAUGGACAAAUCGCCGUUGAAAAACUCCGGCGUGUCGAAGUAGAUCGUGUGUAGGUUUGCGUUUGGGAUGUCGAAAACAGGUAUUCUUGGUCUAAUCGCAAGAAACACUAUCAAAGUGGCAAUCGCAAAAAAGAUAAGCAAAAGGCUGAACACAAAACAGAAACCGGCAACACACCAUAUCCAGAGACUGGUCCUGCUACUCCUUGGCUGACGGAGAAUCACCCUAUCUUUCCUCGGCUCUGCAUCAAGACCGUUGAAUCUAACCGUUGCUGGCUUUGUUAAGACCAUUUGGCCAACUGGUGUGGAUUGUGUGCUCUGUGGUGUUCUCCAUGGUGUGGUUCUUGGAGUAUACCAUACAGACGAUGGUGUUUCCCAUGAUGGCGUUUCGGGCGGUUGCAACUGCGGUGGAGGAGGAAGAUGAGGUAGAUUUGGCAUGAGUUAUGUGAUCAAUGAAAGGAAAAUUGGAAAUGUGUAAUGGUUAUGGAUUAAAUAGGAAAAUAACAGAACUUUUGUUUUUUGUUGUGUGUAAAAAAGGGAAAGCGAGAGUUUGGGCAAAAGAAGAGAGCUUUUGCAUAAUGGGGUUUGGUUUUUGUAAUGAGUGGGACCAUGCGUGUCGUUUUGAAGAACUAGUAAAGCAAAUCUCGGUGGAUUAAAGUUUGAAAACUACAUGCGUUUUCGUUUAAUAUUCCUUCUUCUUAACAAGUGGC
rnacentral:lncRNA from 1 species